GCUCCCACAGCUCAGCAGGUAGAGCACUUCCAUGGUAAGGAAGAGGUCACCAGUUCGCGUCUGGUUGGGAGCUCCG
rnacentral:tRNA from 2 species